UCGGAGCCAAGCCGGAGUACCCUGAUCAUCUUCAUUGCUGUUGUGGGUUAGCCUACACCGCGUCGCAUCACCACUGCACCGACCCGCCACGGCCCCGCUAGCCUAACUCCAUCGCCACCCAAGGUAUAACCUAUCUUUAUGUAUCAUGGUCGUGUAUAGCGUAACCUAGUUAGGCGUCUCCCGUUCGAAAGAGAUACGGAUGAAAAUAUACAGAUCUUUGCAUAUAUAUAACCGUAUCUGUUUUGAAUUGUCCACGUUUUUUGGAUAGCUCGUGGAUGCGUAGAUGAGAUUAGUUUCCAUGGUCUGCUCUGAUUCGAGACAGAGUUUUGGCAUCAUCUUCCUGUUGUUCUCCGGAUACACACUCUCCUUGCAAGGACGUGUAUCUGGAGAACAGUGGGGAGGUGCUGCCGAAAUUCUGUCUCGGAUCAGAGUAGAGCAUGGGAACUAAACUCAUCUCCGCACCCUCGAGUGGGAUUAGGACCUAUCCUCACCUAUUAGAUUGUAGGAACAUCAUAUAGAUGUCAUUGGUGGUUAUGUUACUCUUUGAUAUAUAUGUUAGAAGAUGGAUAAUCGUGAGUGGAUGUACACGGGCCACUCAAGUCAGGGUCAGGUCAGCAAUGAAUGGAUCAACAAGACCGAUGAUUUCUUGGAACGGGCAUUUGGCGAGGCUGGUAAAGGAGCAAGUAAAAUCUUUUGUCCCUGUAGUAAGUGUGCAAACAGAAAAAGACAAACAAAGAAGUUCAUGGGGCAGCAUCUUUGGAAGAAUCGAUUCACGCCAGACUAUACCCGGUGGGUCUACCAUGGUGAAGCCGAUCGCAUGAGAGAGGAGGUGGUGAGACAACGCAUUGAGGAUUACGAUGCUAAUGCCAGGGUAGCAAACAUGUUAGAUGACUUUCACGGAGCACAAUUCCCUGAAGGAAGUACAGAGGAGGAGCCAGAGGAAACUGCAAAGGCGUUCUACGAUAUGUUUUCUUCAGCACAGAAACCCCUUCACUGCAAGACAACGGUUUCUCAACUGGAUGCGAUUGGACGCAUAAUUGCAUUAAAGUCUCAGUUUAGCCUGAGUCGAGAUGCCUAUGAUGGUGUGUUGACAGUUAUUGGCUCUCUGCUUCUAGAGGGUCACAUUUUGCCAAAGAGCAUGUAUGAAUCACAGAAACUCCUUCGUGCACUUAAGAUGCCGUAUGAGCAGAUACAUGCUUGUCCGAAGGGGUGUGUCCUAUUUAGGAAAGAACAUGCGGAAGCAAAGUAUUGUCCAAAGUGUAAAUCUUCUAGGUUCAUGGAAGUAGACUCUGGUGAUGGCCAGAAGCGGUAGCUUGACAUCCCGGUGACGAUCCUACGACACCUUCCAUUCAUACCGAGGAUCCAACGGCUAUACAUGACCGAGGAAUCUGCGAAACAGAUGACAUGGCAUAAAAAUGGCAAACGAUACAAUCCUAACAAGAUGGUACAUGCAUCUGCUGGUGAAGCAUGGACCCACUUUGAUGACAUUCAUCAUGAGAAAGCUAAAGAGGCUCGUAAUAUACGUGUUGCACUAGCAACAGAUGGGUUCAAUCCUUAUGGAAUGAUGGCUGCCCCAUACAGAUGUUGGCCCGUGUUCGUUAUCCCCCUCAAUCUCCCACCCGGCGUAUGCUUUCAACGAUAGAAUGUUUUCUUGUCGUUGAUAAUUCCUGGGCACCCCGGGAAUAAUAUGGGUGUGUUCAUGGAGCCUAUGAUUGAUGAAUUGGUUCAUGCAUGGGAGGAAGGGGUAUGGACAUACGAUCGAGCUACAAAGACAAACUUCAAAAUGUAUGUUUGCUACCACUACUCCCUGCAUGACUUCCUGGCAUAUGGGAUAUUCUGCGCUUGGUGUGUUCACGGGAAGUUCUCAUGCCCAGUAUGCAAGGAAGCUCUGAGAUUCAUUUGGUUGCAAAAGGGUGGCAAGUAUUUGUCAUUCGACAAUCAUCGAUAAUUCCUCCCUAUUGACCAUCCAUUCAGACAAGACAUCAAGAACUUUACGAAAGGUGUUGUAGUGACAGACCCUGCACCCCAGAUGAUGAAUGCUGCCGCAGUUCGUGAACAGAUAGAUGCUCUCGUGGUCAAUGAAGAAGGAGGCGGUUUUGUGGGAUAUGGUGAGCAACAUAUGUGGACUCAUAAGUCGGGCUUGACUCGGCUCCCCUAUUUGAUGACCUACUCCUUCCACACAACAUUGAUGUAAUGCACACUGAAAAGAAUGUCACUGAGGCACUUUGGGCAACAAUCAUGUAUAUUCCUGAUAAGUCAAAGGACAACGUUAAGGCUAGAGUGGAUCUGGCAACGUUAUGCGAUAGACCAAACCUAGAGAUGAAGCCUCCUAAUCGCGGCACGACAUGGAGAAGGCCUAAGGCCGAUUUUGUCUUGACUAGGGCCCAAAGGAGAGAAGUACUAGAAUGGAUGCAGACGUUAAUGUUCCCUGAUGGGUAUGCAGCUAAUCUGAGGAGGGGAGUGAACUUAUGUACUAUGCGAGUCUUAGGGAUGAAGAGUCAUGACUAUCACAUAUGGAUUGAGCGUCUUCUUCCGGCAAUGGUCCGAGGCUAUGUCCCUGACCAUGUCUGGCUAGUGCUGGCAGAGUUGAGCUAUUUCUUCUGCCAGCUUUGUGCCAAGGAAUUAACUCGGACUGUGAUUGAAGACUUGGAAAGAAUGACACCUGUGUUGCUAUGUAAGUUGGAGAAGAUAUUUCCACCUGGCUUCUUCAAUCCGAUGCAACAUUUGAUUUUGCACCUCCUGUAUGAGGCACGAAUGGGUGGGGCCCGUGCAGGGCCGUUGGUGCUAUCCAAUCGAGAGAUGUCUAAAGGUUCUUAGAAAGAAAUGUAGAAAUAAAUGCAAAACUGAGGCUUCCAUUGCAGAGGCAUUCAUUCUAGAGGUGUCGAACUUCACAACAACAUACUAUGACAACCUCCCUAGUGUGCAUAAUCCACCCCCUCGUUACAAUGCUGGCGAAAAUGAAUCAAACCUCAGACUUUUCCGAGGGCAACUCAGAAGCGCAAGUGGAUCGACCCCCAAGACCUUGAAACCUGAAGAGUGGCGUAGUAUCAUGCUUUAUGUGUUGAACAACCUUGACGAAGUCGAGCCAUACAUGCAGUAAGUUCUCAAUGAACUUGUUCCAUAUACCAUCAUUAUUUUUCAUCCAACCCCCUUGUUUCUCAAUGGUAUAGGGAAUUUCUUAAUUGAUUUUGGAAUCUAUCAAGGGAACCUACCCCUCAGGAAUGUGAUGCCCUUCUUAGACAGGGUGCGGGAAGUGGAAUGCCCGAUUUCAUUUCUUGGUUCAAAGAGAAGGUACCAUCCAAUUUAGCUCGUGAUUAUUUUGACAUUCCAAGUUACUCGUAUGUACGAAUAAUAUAACUAUAUAUCCUGCUUGAGCUUGUAGGGCCAAAGGGAUGUGUUAAUGAGUGCUGAGUUGAGACAGGUUGCAGAUGGCUUUGAAUAUAGGGUCAGGUCAUUUACCGGUUAUGACGUGAAUGGAUAUCGCUUUCACACAACAAAUUAUGAGCAGAGUCAACCUAAUCAAAGAACCACAAGUACCAGAGUUUUUACGCCUGGCCAAGAUGGGGUCGACUAUUAUGGAAGAAUGGAAGAAAUAUAUGAGCUCAAGUUUCGUGGUUCCAAAGCUCUUAAUCCUAUCAUAUUCAAAUGUCAUUGGUUUGAUCCUGAAGUAACGAGACAGACAUAUUAUAAUCUUGGGCUAGUCAAAAUUCGACAAGAUUCGGUCUUACCAGGUGAUGAUGUCUAUAUUGUGGCCCAACAAGCCACACAAGUUUAUUAUCUCUCAUAUGCGUGUCAAACCAAAGAGCAUCUUAAGGGUUGGGAUAUUUUGCACAAGAUAUCGCCACAUGGUAAAGUACCUAUCCCAAUUGAUGAAGAUUAUAACUUAGAGCCAAACACAUAUGAUGGAGAGUUCUUUCAAGAAGAGGGGCUCCAAGGGAGGUUUGAGAUAGACUUAACCGAAGCGAUCGGGAUGGAAGUAGACAAUGAAAGGGUUCUUGAUGAGGACGCUGGAGAUGAGGUGCAGAAUUUGAAGGACUUACAAAUGCUGGAGCAAUUACAUUUAGGCAAUCACAAUAGUGACAUAAUUGUUACUUCGGAUAGUGUUGAUUAUGACAUGGUUGAUAGUGAUGAUGAGACUUAUGAUCCAACUAAUCCGAAUCAUGAAGAUUAUUUCUAAUACAUGUAAUACUAUUUUUAUUUUGUAAUUAUGUUAUUUCUAAUACAUGUAAUACUAUGUUAUUUUGUAAUUAUGCUCCUCUUGCUGAUUAAUUCUUGUUUAAUCUUUUUAAUUGCAGGUGAUUGAAGAAAUAUGGUGGGCGGUAAUAUGAGGAGGGUGAACUCUCUUUACCAAAGAGCACGCCCUGCAGCGCCUGCUGCAGAUGAGGAGCCAUCACAGGGGAGGAGGAGGAGGAGGAGCAGGAGCAGCCGCAAGAGGGACCCGUCGCCUCUUGUCCUGGCACGUGCGGGGUGCGAGCACGUGAUGACCGAGGACGAGGAGCGGCACGAGGACAAGGAGCGGCAUGAGGACCAGGAGCGGCACGAGGACGAGGAGCGGCAUGAGGACGAGGAGUGCCGCGGGGACGAGGAGGAGGAGGAGGAGGAGGAGGGGGGGGCAGGAGGGGGUUCUACUACCUCUAGCGGCUCGAGUAUCUACUUGCGAGGUCCAGCGAGCCUCCCUGAGCGACGGAUACCUCCUCACAGGCGGCCGUUGAUUCGACCUGAUGGGGAAAAGUAAGUAACUUAAGAUGUUAUCACUACUUCAUACGAUAUGUUGAAAAUCACAAUACAAACUAAUAUUUUUUCUUAAACACUUGGGCAGGAGUUGGACGAUUGUACAGUUUGCAGGUUGUCACACACGCCAUGUCAAUGGCAUCCUAGGGCUUUUGUGCAAGGUGCACUUCCCUGGCUUUGUUCACUACGCUGGAGUGACGACGCUGGCCUACACGUUCGACCACUACGUCGCUGUUGAUGAUGCUAGAGAUCGGGAUGGUAGGCAAUUCGACAACAAGGCGGAGCGGGUGAAGGCCGAGCUAUGGGUAAGUCCUCGCACUAUGUUCCUCAAUACAUUGCAUUUAUUGGACAUUUCUCAAAUAAUGAAUGGACACAUUGCGUCUAUAUGCAGGAUUUCUUCAGAUGCCACGGGGGGAUGGAGGAGAGGGCGGCUUUGGUGGCUACCAAAGUCUGCAAAAAACUCGUGAAGGACAUGCAUUACGAGGCAUGCAUCUAGGCUGUCAUAACAUACCAUGGAGUAUUCCUUAGGACGAAGGUAACCAAAACUCAGGCAAGAACAAUGACGCUGACCCGACAACAAUACCUGGAGGUAAAUAUAGAAUAUUAAUACUAGUUUCUUUUGAGAUUAAGUAGGAUGAAUUUGAUCUUGUUAUAUGUCAUAUACUUGAUGACGUGCAGGCGAUUCCGUCUUGGUGCGCCUCGUACCCCGCAUGCUGGGCAUAUAUGGUGGACAAGUGGUGCGCCCCCGAGUGGGAGGAGACGCACAAUGCUUGUCGGGAGCGGCGUCUGAUGAUGCCAGGUGUACCACACCAUCAAGGCAGUCGCAACCUCAGUCGAUACGCACAGACAUGGGUAUGUGAUUUCAUUUGUUUAUUCCAAUACUCAAUUCUGCAUGAUUCCUAAUAAUCUUGCUAUUUGUAUUACAGUCGUCGUCACAUGGUGGCCAGCCUUGCUCUCAGUUCAAGGCAUGGGCUAUGGCUCACAAGGGGAAGGCGACGUCCGACAUCGACUACAACCCGGAGGACCCUCCCUCGGCGUACAGCAAUGCGACCGUCCAUAGCCGCCUCAGUGAGUACACGUCGAUGGCAAAGGUGGUCCAUGGGCCAGACUAUGAUCCAAGCACCCAGGACUUUGAUGGAGAAGUAGUCAUGAGGGUGAGAGGAGGAAAGAAGCAUGGGCGGUACUUGCUCGGUGAUGGCAUAAUCGAUACAGCCACUACUCCCUCUCUCUCUCAGAUCCGGGCAAGAAGCAUGAGCUCAAGCCCCGCCAUACGACCUCAGCCGGACACUGCACAGCACCGGAUGGAGGCACUCCAGGUUAUUCCUGUUUUAUUCAUUUUUCAUUGAUUUUUAGAUACCUUAGCUCUGCAAUAUUAUAAAAAUUGGGUUCAAAUAUUGUAGGUCCAGCUGGAAGAAGAGAAGAGGCGACGGGAGAAGUUGGAGGCGAGGAUCGCAGCCGAGCGGGAGGAGUUGGAGGCGAGGAUCACAGCCGAGCGGGAGGCCGAGCAGCGGAGGUUCGCAGACAUUCUACAGUACAUGCAAAGUCUUGGCGCCGCCCAGGGAAUGCCUCCACCACCUGGGCUAUUCGCUCUACCUCCACCUCCCGGUGCAACUACUCCUGUGAGUAUGAAUGUUUCAGGUUAUAUGUUCAUGUUUACAGUCAAACCACAACAAUACUUCGAACCUAGUGUUUCAGGUUAUCUUUUUUUAUAGAGAAAAACCCUGAUUUUAUAAAGCCACAAAGUAUAAAUAACAGACAAACUGAAAAAAAGUUUUAAGUUUCCAAACUAGCACAACUGCACAAGCUACUAAUCUGCAUACUCCCUUCUUACCUGCAUGCACAUCAUGUGCUACUUCCUGAUCCCUACCUGCAUGCACAACCAUAUGGGCUCGUCCAAGACAUAUCAAUUUUUUUAAAACUGCUAUAUGUUGCUUUGUAAAGAAGUAAUUAGCUCAUACUUAAUCGAAACAAUUGUAUUUAGCACAAACGAAUAGUCUUUGACGCUAUUAGUAUUCCUGUGUUCUAAACACUCAUUUCUAUGAAAUUCCUGUGUGUUUCCAAUCCUCUGUUUUACACCUUUAUUCCUUUCAUAUUCCUGUGUUUUCUUUCAUUCCUUUGUUUUGCAUUCCUUUUUUCCAAACAGGGCCUUAUCUUGUCUCACAUAUGUAAUCUCUUCUCCUCUGCAGAAUCAAUCGGCGGCAUCGAAUGAAGUGCCUCAUGCUACAAAUCCUUCACCAAAUCAGUCUCGUUGUUCGUGAUGAAACUUGUAGUUGUUAAUGGUACUUUUAUUUGCACUUCUUAUGGUA
rnacentral:lncRNA from 1 species